rnacentral:RNase_P_RNA from 1 species
GGAGCGGGUCGGACGGUCGCCGGGGCUUUGGUCCCGGAGGAAGGUCCGGACUCCAUCGGGCAGGAUGCUGGCUAACGGCCAGGCGCAGCAAGCCGGUUCACGCCGGCCCAAGGCGACGGAAAGUGGCACAGAAAAUAUACCGCCGCCCGGGCGCAAGCCUGGGCGGUAAGGGUGAAAUGGCGAGGUAAGAGCUCACCGCAUUGCUGGCGACGGCAAUGGCAGGCCAAACCCCAUCCGGAGCAACAUCAAAUAGGCACGCGAUGCGGCUGCACCUCGGUGAAGCCGCGCAGAGCGCCCACUCGAGCGUGCGGGUAGAUGGCUAGAGCCGGCGGGUAACCGCCGGUCCAGAGGAAUGACCGUCGCGCCGGCAACGGCGGACAGAAUCCGGCCUACAGACCCGCUCCAUUC